CGGUUGAUCCUGCCGGAGGCCACUGCUAUUGGAAUGCGACUAAGCCAUGCGAGUCAAGGGGCUCUUCGGAGCACCGGCGUACGGCUCAGUAACAUGUGGGUAACCUACUCUCAGGUGGGGGAUAACCUCGGGAAACUGAGGCUAAUACCCCAUAGAUAAAAGAUACUGGAAUGUUCUUUUAUCAAAAGCUCCGGCGCCUGAGGAUGGGCCUGCAUCCGAUUAGGUAGUUGGUGAGGUAACGGCUCACCAAGCCUGCGAUCGGUACGGGUCGUGAGAGCGAUAGCCCGGAGAUGGGGACUGAGACAAGGCCCCAGGCCCUACGGGGCGCAGCAGGCGCGAAACCUCUGCAAUGUGCGAAAGCAUGACAGGGGCAUUCCAAGUGCUCUUGUUUUACAAGAGCUUUUCUCCGGUCCAAGACGCCGGAGGAAUAAGGGCUGGGUAAGACCGGUGCCAGCCGCCGCGGUAACACCGGCAGCUCGAGUGGUGGCCGCUAUUAUUGGGCCUAAAGCGUUCGUAGCCGGGCAGGUAAGUGUUCUGGUAAAUCCCAUAACUUAAUUAUGGGGCUUCAGAAUAUACUGCCUGCCUUGAGACCGGGAGAGGCUGGAGGUACUUUCGGGGUAGGGGUAAAAU
rnacentral:rRNA from 1 species